AAUUGAUAGUUCAAGGUGAUAUAAUAUUUAAAAUAAUUGAUAUUUUUUAUUUUUUUUUUUUUUUUUUUUCAUCGUAAUAAGGAAUAAAAUCGAAUUUUCGGGAGAGAUAAUGCGCGGAAAUACCGUGAAAAUAUUAUCAUCGUUAAAUAAAACGGGAUAACAAAAAACGGCACGGGUAUAUGGGUUUCAAAUCGCGAAGUUUAUCUUAUAUUGCUAUUACGCCGCGAUUGGUUUUCAAUGUACCUGCGUAGUUUGUUUGUUGUUUUUUUUUUCUCCGCUUUUUCGGGUAUACGCGCCGUUUUAUACGGCACCGAUUCGUUUCUAUUAUUUCCGCAUAUCGCCCUGGAGGCGGAGGCACGACACUUGUAUGUAAACAUCGUCGCGAACGCAACGGAGACCCUCUAGAGAGAAAAUUGAAACGAAUUGUUAAAAACACCGAAAACAAGGCGGCAACGGAGGCGGAGAAGAAGGAUUUAGAGCGGUUUACGCGUCCGGACGAUAUUUUAUUGUUAGUGUGGUGUGACUAACGCCUACGGGGAAAAGCGAAGGGCGUUCAAGUUAAUUGCAAACUUUAACGCUGCAAAUAAAUAAAAUCAUUGUCACGUCUCCUGCAGCUCCGGCCCGGAGAUACAUCACGGAACCCGACUUCCCAAAGGCGUAUAUAGAUAACGCGAAAUAAUACCGGUAUCGGUAUUAACCGAUAGCGGAAUGUUUUGAAAAUUGGAUUUUCAAUCCCGGUUUAAACCACGUCAGUGUUCCCGGAUAUAAGGGACAGUGCAAUUACGUACGUUUAAAUGGCGGGGAAUAUCGUUACUGGUCAAAUUCGUAUUAUAUAAUUUACACCCGGUAUAUAGGUAUAAAAAAAAAAAAACCACAUUUCAUUAGCAAAGUAAGCGUUUUAUUUAUUUAUUUAUUUUUUUUUUUUAUAGAUACAAAAUCGAUUAACAGACGAACGCACGCCAAUAUUGUUAGAGCCUAAAAGUCGUUCGUUAAAACGUUCGGUUUGAGGUGCGUGACGCUACACCGAAGUGAGUCGUGGACUGCGUUGAACGAACAGAGAAACGUUGGAAUCGCGGACGUGGCGUAGCCGAUGAAGACUGCGAGCUGAACGGAAAGGUAAACUAAUGUAAACAUAUUACAAACACGGUACGAGAGCCGAAACAAAUCGUUAUAACGAUCGAUACGUGAAGGACAACAUUUAUUGGACAC